GGGGCUAUAGCUCAGCCGGUUAGAGCGCAGCACUGAUAAUGCUGAGGUCGCUGGUUCGAUUCCAGCUAGCCCCACCG
rnacentral:tRNA from 1 species